rnacentral:rRNA from 1 species
AUGUGUGGGGGUCUUGGGGUUCAAAUCAGGAGUAAAAGUGCUUUUCUAGCCAUGGUCCUUCCUGAGUCGGUCCGAGGGUGGCAGUCGACCUGGUUCUACUGCCAAGACCAGUCGAUGCCAGGGCAGUCGACUGGACUCCCUCCUUUCUCCAUGCAUCGAGUGAGCAAGCCGUCCUCUCUAAAGGUGGUCCCAGAGGAAAAGGCUCAGGUCAAGGUGUUGGUCGAGCAUGUAGUCCAGCUCAUCUGUGACGGGGUGACUGGCAUGGAUCUUCUGGAGGUUUUUCUUCGACGAUGCAUCUAG